ACGGGAGGCAGCAGUGGGGAGUAUUGCACAAUGGGGGAAACCCUGAUGCAGCGACGCCGCGUGAGUGAAGAAGUAUUUCGGUAUGUAAAGCUCUAUCAGUAGGGAAGAAAAUGACGGUACCUAACUAAGAAGCCCCGGCUAACUACGUGCCAGCAGCCGCGGUAAUACGCAGGGGGCAAGCGUUAUCCGGAUUUACUGGGUGUAAAGGGAGCGUAGACGGUACGGCAAGUCUGAAGUGAAAUGUCGGGGCUCAACCCCGGAACUGCUUUGGAAACUGUCGAACUAGAGUGCAGGAGAGGUAAGUGGAAUUCCUAGUGUAGCGGUGAAAUGCGUAGAUAUUAGGAGGAACACCGGUGGCGAAGGCGGCUUACUGGACUGUAACUGACGUUGAGGCUCGAAAGCGUGGGGAGCAAACAGGAUUAGAUACCCUGGUA
rnacentral:rRNA from 1 species